GCCCUAGUAGCUCAACAGAUCAGAGCAC
rnacentral:tRNA from 1 species